UUCCCCUAGUAACGGCGAGUGAAGAGGGAAAAGCCCAAAUUUGUAAUCUGGCACUUUUUAGAGUCCGAGUUGUAAUUUUAAGAACUGUUUUCUGUACUGGACCAUGUACAAGUCUGUUGGAAAACAGCAUCAUUGAGGGUGAAAAUCCCGUACAUGAUAUGGACUACCAGUACAAUGUGAUACAGUCUCUAAGAGUCGAGUUGUUUGGGAAUGCAGCUCAAAGUGGGUGGUAAAUUCCAUCUAAGGCUAAAUAUAGGUGAGAGACCGAUAGCAAACAAGUACCGUGAGGGAAAGAUGAAAAGAACUUUGGAAAGAGAGUUAACAGUAUGUGAAAUUGUUAAAAGGGAAACAUUUGAAGUUAGACUUGUUAUUGUUGGUUCAACUUUCUCUUUUGAAGGUGUAUUCCAAUGGUUUUAACAGACCAGCAUCAAUUUUUGAGUGUUAGAUAAGGGUCUUGAGAAUGUAGCAACUUUGGUUGUGUUUUUAUAGCUCAUGACUUUUGAUAUAAUGCUUAGGAUUGAGGUAUGCAGUGAGCUUUUUAUUAAGUGGAUAUAUAUAUACAUAUCUUCUCACUACGGAUGUUGGUGUAAUAGCUUUAAAUGACCCGUCUUGAAACACGGACCAAGGAGUCUAACAUGCUUGCGAGUAUUUGGGUGUUGAAACCCUUAUGCAUAAUGAAAGUGAAUGUAAAUGAGAUCCGUAACAGGUGCAUCAUUGACCAGUCCUGAUUAUUUAUAUGAAGUACUGAGUAAGAGCAAGUAUGUUGGGACCCGAAAGAUGGUGAACUAUGCCUGAAUAGGGUGAAGCCAGAGGAAACUCUGGUGGAAGCUCGUAGCGGUUCUGACGUGCA
rnacentral:rRNA from 1 species